CUCGCUGAGCCGAGUUGGACUACCGUAUUUCAGCUCGUAGUUUUACUUCCAGGUAGCGGCGGGAGGGGAGCCGAGGCUCUUUCCCACGCUUAGCCUGGCGUUGUUCUCUUCGGCCCCAUAACUCGGGGACGAGUCCCAGAGAAAGGACAGACAGAAAGACAGACACCCGCCCCCCCUCCAUGGGACGGGGAGGGCUGCUACUGGGGCACAGCCUCCUCCUCCGACCUGCUUCUUGCUUCGGGAUCCGCGCUCGUGUUCCGACCCGCUUCCGCGUCUUGACGGGAGACGGAGAGGCCACGAACCAGGCUCUGGGCGUGGGUAGCCCCGUCCAGGCGUGUUCGCUCGACGGGGUUGAGGGAGAGGAAGGGCGGCGCCUAUUUUUAACCGGGACAAAAUGUUUCCCCACAACUUCUCCGCUGCUGCUGCUGCUGCUGCUGCCGCCGCCUGCCUGCCUGUCCCGGCUCCGGAUAUUUAAAGACUGCAGAACGCCUGACUUCCAAGGGAGAUCUUAGAAAGAAUAAGGAAAAACAAAACAAAACAAAACAAAACUGGACAACCCCGUCUUCUUCCUGCACUCUUGCCAUAUUUCACACCAUAUUCUUGAUGGAAAGGAAAGCUUCCUCACCCCACGGCCGGUUUUGGAGUCGCUCAGAGUCGACGGAAGAGGCAAAAGUUGUCCUGGAAGAGAGAAGGAUGCGUGCAGCAGAGAAGCAGCAGCGCAGGCGCCCCUUUCUCUCUGUGCCCGGCGUCGAGGAACCAACGGGGCUUUUGCUAAACCCUGGAAGGUGGCACAGGUAGCAAGUGGGCAGAGGGUCCCUCUGCAAGGAGGCGGCCGGGGACCCCGUCUGGGAACCCCCGAAGCUCAAGGUUUGGGCCAGCUACCGCGCACCGCUUCUCUUGCAGGCCUAGGGAAAGGGACCCCCCCGCCCCCUGGUGUCAGAGAAUUGAAAUGCUCGCGGCUGCGGAGCGACAGGGAAGCGGCGCGUUUCCCUUCCGAGGAAUUCAAACAAACAAAUUACCGAUGUUUCACGCGCAGUCCAGAAGCUCGGGGUCGGCCAGAGACACACUGGCAAACUAGGCAAGAAAAUGUGAAGGCAGGCUAGCCGUUUUCAUUAAAAAAAACAAACCACCUUGUAGAUUGCAAUGGGGGAAUGGAAGGAAAUUGCUGUUUUAAGGUGCCAGAUCUACACCCCGGAAAUGCACGUCUCUCUACCUGUGCAGAUUUUUUUUCUCCAUCCUGCUGGCUCCCCCACUCCGAAGAUCAAACCCGCUUUUCUCAGCCCUUGUGAAAGCAAACUAAGCACAAAGCUCCAAACUUUCCAAGAACCCCUCCCCUUCCCACAGGUAUGCAAAGCAAACGAGUCAAAGGGAGGAAAACAUGCAAACGUUUUAUAUAAAUUUA